UACGGGGGGGGGCAAGCGUUGUUCGGAAUUACUGGGCGUAAAGGGCUCGUAGGCGGCCAACUAAGUCAGACGUGAAAUCCCUCGGCUUAACCGGGGAACUGCGUCUGAUACUGGAUGGCUAGAGAUUGGGAGAGGGAUGCGGAAUUCCAGGUGUAGCGGUGAAAUGCGUAGAUAUCUGGAGGAACACCGGUGGCGAAGGCGGCAUCCUGGACCGACACUGACACUGAGGAGCGAAAGCCAGGGGAGCAAACGGG
rnacentral:rRNA from 1 species